AUUUUAUUAUAUUUAUUUUUUGUUUAUUUAAUUAUUUAAUAUAAAUAAUUUUAUUGUAUUUUUGUCUUAGUAUAUUUUAUAGAAUUGAUUUUUUAAAUUAUAGUUUAUUGGUAAUGUAAGUGUUUUAUGAAAUAUUAUUUUAAAUUUUUUUAAGUAGAUUUUAUUUAUUGUACCUUUUGUAUCAGGGUUUAUCAAAAUUUUAGUAUUUAUAUUACUUGUCUCGAAUUGGGUUGAUUUAUAAAUAAUUUAUAGUUAAUGUAUCAUAAUUAUUAUUAAAUUAUUUAUAGAAAUGAGAUGUUAAUCGUUUCCCAAGAUAUCUAGUUUCUUAAGAAAAAAUUUAAUUUUUUAAAGUUAUUUGUUUUUAUUUAAUUUUUUAAGUAAAAAUAUUAACUUAUUUAUUCUUUAAGGGAUAAGCUUUGAAGUUAAUAACCUAUAAUUUAUUUUAUAGAAAUAUAAUAGUAAGCUUUAAACCAGCUAUCUUUAAGAUUACGUUUUAGUUCAUUAUUUUUUAUUUUGAUUUUAUAAAUAUUUUAGGUUUUUUAUUAAGAUUAUUAAUUUAAUUUUAAAAUUUUUGUAAUAAUGAUAGAAUUAGUAUAUUUAUUUGUAUGAAAUUUUUACCUUGUGAACUUAUUAUAAGGAACUAGGCAAAAUUGAUUUCCGCCUGUUUAUCAAAAACAUGUCCUCUUGUUUAUAUUUUGAGGUCUGGCCUGCUCACUGAGCGUAUUUUUAAAGAGCCGCGGUAUUUUGACCGUGCAAAGGUAGCAUAAUCAUUAGUCUCUUAAUUAGUGGCUGGAAUGAAUGGCUUGACGAGAAAUCAACUGUCUCUUAAUAAAUUUUUGAAUUUAACUUUUGAGUCAAAAGGCUUAAAUUCUUCUUUAGGACGAGAAGACCCUAUAGAGCUUGACAUUUUACUUUUAUAUAGUUUUUUGUUUGUCUUUCUAUAUUUAAUGAUGAUGUUUUGUUGGGGUGACAUGAAGAAUAGAUAAACUCUUCAUUAUUAUAUCAUUUAUUUAUGUUUGUUAUUUUGAUCCAUAAUUUAUGAUCAUAAGAUUAAGUUACCUUAGGGAUAACAGCGUAAUUGUUUUUGAGAGCUCAUAUCGACAAAGCAGAUUGCGACCUCGAUGUUGGAUUAAGAAAAAUUUUGGGUGCAGGAGCCCAAUGAUUAGGUCUGUUCGACCUUUAAAUUCUUACAUGAUCUGAGUUCAGACCGGCGUGAGCCAGGUCGGUUUCUAUCCUAAGAUUGUUAAUCCAUAUUAGUACGAAAGGACCAUAUGGUUAAAAUAUUUUUUGUUUUAUUGAAUAAUAUUAAUUUAUUUA